UACGUAGGGUGCGAGCGUUGUCCGGAAUUAUUGGGCGUAAAGAGCUUGUAGGUGGUUUGUCGCGUCUGCUGUGAAAAUCCGAGGCUCAACCUCGGACUUGCAGUGGGUACGGGCAGACUAGAGUGUGGUAGGGGAGACUGGAAUUCCUGGUGUAGCGGUGGAAUGCGCAGAUAUCAGGAAGAACACCCGUGGCGAAGGCGGCUCUCUGGGACGGUACUGACGCUGAGACGCGAAAGCGUGGGGAGCGAACAGG
rnacentral:rRNA from 1 species